rnacentral:rRNA from 1 species
UACGUAGGGUGCGAGCGUUAAUCGGAAUUACUGGGCGUAAAGCGUGCGCAGGCGGCUUUGCAAGACAGAUGUGAAAUCCCCGGGCUCAACCUGGGAACUGCAUUUGUGACUGCAAGGCUAGAGUACGGCAGAGGGGGAUGGAAUUCCGCGUGUAGCAGUGAAAUGCGUAGAUAUGCGGAGGAACACCAAUGGCGAAGGCAAACCCCUGGGCCUGUACUGACGCU